UACGUAGGUGGCAAGCGUUAUCCGGAAUUAUUGGGCGUAAAGCGCGCGCAGGUGGUUUCCUUAAAGUCUGAUGUGAAAGCCCACGGCUCAACCGUGGAGGGUCAUUGGAAACUGGGAGACUUGAGUGCAGAAGAGGAAAGUGGAAUUCCAUGUGUAGCGGUGGAAAUGCGUAGAGAUAUGGAGGAACACCAGUGGCGAAGGCGACUUUCUGGUCUGUAACUGACAGCUGAGGCGCGGAAAGCCAGGGAGCAAACGGG
rnacentral:rRNA from 1 species